GCCCCUUUAGCUCAAUGGAUAGAGCGUCUGGCUUCGGACCAGAAGGUUAAAGGUUCGAUUCCUUUAGGGGGCA
rnacentral:tRNA from 1 species